rnacentral:rRNA from 1 species
AUUGAACGCUGGCGGCAGGCCUAACACAUGCAAGUCGAGCGAGCGGCGGACGGGUGAGUAAUGUAUGGGGACUGCCCGAUAGAGGGGGAUAACUACUGGAAACGGUGGCCAAUACAGCAUACUAUCGGAUAACCCAUAUGGGGUUAGCUAGUAGGUGGGGUAACGGCUCACCUAGGCGACGAUCUCUAGCUGGUCUGAGAGGAUGAUCAGCCAGACUGGGGAUGAGACACGGCCCAGAUUCCAAGGGAGGCAGCAGUGGGGAAUAUUGCACAAUGGGCGCAAGCCUUGUGCAGCCAUGCCGCGUGUAUGAAGAAGGCCUUAGGGUUGUAAAGUACUGUCAGCGGGGAGGCGUUACCAUCAGAAGAAGCACCGGCGAACUCCGUGCCAGCAGCCGCGGUAAUUC